AGGAAUAUUGGUCAAUGGCCGCGGGGCUGAACCAGCCAAGUCGCGUGAGGGAUGACGGUCCUAUGGAUUGUAAACCUCUUUUGUCAGGGAGCAAAGGGCGCCACGUGUGGCGUUUUGCGAGUACCUGAAGAAAAAGCAUCGGCUAACUCCGUGCCAGCAGCCGCGGUAAUACGGAGGAUGCGAGCGUUAUCCGGAUUUAUUGGGUUUAAAGGGUGCGCAGGCGGAAUGUCAAGUCAGCGGUAAAAUUUCGGGGCUCAACCCCGUCGUGCCGUUGAAACUGGCGUUCUUGAGUGAGCGAGAAGUAUGCGGAAUGCGUGGUGUAGCGGUGAAAUGCAUAGAUAUCACGCAGAACUCCGAUUGCGAAGGCAGCAUACCGGCGCUCAACUGACGCUCAUGCACGAAAGCGUGGGUAUCGAACAGGAUUAGAUACCCUGGUAGUCCACGCAGUAAACGAUGAAUACUAACUGUCCGGGCAGAAUGAUGCCUGGGUGGUACAGCGAAAGCGUUAAGUAUUCCACCUGGGGAGUACGCCGGCAACGGUGAAACUCAAAGGAAUUGACGGGGGCCCGCACAAGCGGAGGAACAUGUGGUUUAAUUCGAUGAUACGCGAGGAACCUUACCCGGGCUCAAACGACGGAUGAAUGUUUUUGAAAGGAGGCAGCCCUUCGGGGCAUCCGUCGAGGUGCUGCAUGGUUGUCGUCAGCUCGUGCCGUGAGGUGUCGGCUUAAGUGCCAUAACGAGCGCAACCCCCAUCGCCAGUUACCAGCAAGUAAAGUUGGGGACUCUGGCGAGACUGCCGGCGCAAGCUGUGAGGAAGGCGGGGAUGACGUCAAAUCAGCACGGCCCUUACGUCCGGGGCGACACACGUGUUACAAUGGCAGGUACAGAGAGAUGCGAUGCGGCGACGCAGAGCGGAACUUCAAAGCCUGUCUCAGUUCGGAUUGGAGUCUGCAACCCGACUCCAUGAAGCUGGAUUCGCUAGUAAUCGCGCAUCAGCCACGGCGCGGUGAAUACGUUCCCG
rnacentral:rRNA from 1 species